rnacentral:rRNA from 1 species
CCUUGGGUGAUCCCGCCGGACCUGACUGCUAUCGGAUUGGUACUAAGCCAUGCGAGUCGUUGUAGCAAUACAAGGCGGACGGCUCAGUAACACGUAGUCAACCUAACCUAUGGACGUGGAUAACCUCGGGAAACUGAGAAUAAACCGCGAUAGAUCAUUAUGCCUGGAAUGGCUUAUGGUUCAAACAAUUUAUUGCCGUAGGAUGGGACUGCGGCCUAUCAGCUUGUUGGUGAGGUAAUGGCCCACCAAGGCUAUAACAGGUACGGGCUCUGAGAGGAGAAGCCCGGAGAUGGGUACUGAGACACGGACCCAGGCCCUAUGGGGCGCAGCAGGCGAGAAACCUUAGCAAUGUGCGAAAGCACGACUAGGUUAAUCCGAGUGAUUUCUGUUGAAGAAAUCUUUUGUCAGUCGUAAAACCACAGACGAAUAAGGGGUGGGCAAGUCUGGUGUCAGCCGCCGCGGUAAUACCAGCACCUCGAGUGGUCAGGAGGUUUAUUGGGCCUAAAGCAUCCGUAGCCGGCUACGCAAGUCUCCGGUUAAAUCCAGCUGCUCAACAGAUGGGCUGCCGGAGAUACUACAUAGCUAGGGAGCGGGAGAGGUAGACGGUAUUCUGUGGGUAGGGGUAAAAUCCACUGAUCCAUAGAGGACCACCAGUGGCGAAGGCGGUCUACCAGAACGCGUUCGACGGUGAGGGAUGAAAGCUGGGGGAGCAAACCGGAUUAGAUACCCGGGUAGUCCCAGCUGUAAACGAUGCAAACUCGGUGAUGCAUUGGCUUAUGGCCAAUGCAGUGCCGCAGGGAAGCCGUUAAGUUUGCCGCCUGGGAAGUACGGACGCAAGUCUGAAACUUAAAGAAUUGGCGGGGGAGCA